UUCAUUCCAGUCAGCACAGUAACUCUGUUUUGUCUAUUGAUUCAGAGGCCUGAGGCGCCCAAAAUAGCCAGCCUUCAGUCUUAACUUUAAGUUCAAUGAAAUCAUCGUGUCCCCUGAUGGAAGCAGUCCUCCCUCUGGAACUCGAACCCCUAGGCCAGCAGAGCAUAAAGGGCGUGUGAACAGGAAGCAAAACUUUUGCUAUGAAUCACUAGAAGUAAUGAUGAAUGAUGCCGCUCCCAUUUCCACCCGUUGAUUCCUGGACCCAUGACUCCUGGCUAUUGAGAAACAGAAAAAUUGGACACUGAUGCAGAGAGCAUGCAGCCUUCUGGAAAACCUUGCCCCAGCCCUGUGAGGUAUUGUCAUCAAGCUGGCACUAGAGUUGAGUCCUCCUUAAUGGCCGUUCCAACCUUCUGUCAGGGACCACCCGUGUUCCGUGGACUGUGCUUUGAGAAACACUGCCCUCGAGGUUCAUUGCAGAUACUUUAGGGAACGCACCAAAAGGCAAGAGGAAGGAGAGGCUGGAAGAAGAGGAAGACAUCUGAUUUCAAUAAGAGGAUUCAGCUUUCACCUAAUUUACAUAUUGGGUUGUGUCCAUAAUAGCUAUAUCAAUGGUUUUCUGGAACAGAAAGGAGAUAAAUGUAUAAAAACCACAUAAACAAAACUGGGAUGAUAAGAGUCUCGAAAUGUGAAAGAUACUAUGACAGAAAAGGUAUCACCCGAAGAUGAAAAAAUUAUUGCAUAUGACUGACAUAUGGAUAACUGACAAGUGUCAACAUGAGAAAUAUUUUUAGAGACUAACAAGUUGUUGAUAGACUUGUUUUCUUUACCGAGGCUCUUAGAUGAAACUUCUUGGAAAGAAUUCAAGCCUGGGCUGAAUGUGGCUGGCGUGGGCCUGUAGAGGGAUCCCUCCAUGACCACCGAGGCCAGCGCUACCUGUGGACGACCACAGCAGUUGUGUAAUUAGGCUCAGCAUCACGUGAGGAGCAAUUUCUGAUGGGAAACGAAGCCUCUACUUGAAAUGGCCAGGGGCACUGGACAAGCAAAAUACUGAAGCUUCAUGAGAGCAGGAUCAUAUUUCUCUGAAUCUUUCCACCAUUCUCGGGACCAGCACAGUGACCAUCACACUGUGGGUGAUCAACAAAUAUUUGUUGAGUGAAGAAAUAAAUAACUUUGGAUCUCAGAAACUCACAGAGCCCCGUGUAGCCGGCAAUCUCCUCUAUCUUCUCUGUAUUACUCCAGCCUCUCACCAACCUCAUUUUUGGUUUGGUUUGGUUUUAUAAAAUUAUUUGUCCUCUA